rnacentral:rRNA from 1 species
CGUAGGUGGCAAGCGUUGUCCGGAUUUAUUGGGUUUAAAGGGUGCGUAGGCGGCUUUGUAAGUCAGUGGUGAAAUAUGGCAGCUCAACUGUCAGGGUGCCAAUGAUACUGCGGAGCUUGAGUACAGAUGAGGUAGGCGGAAUUGACGGUGUAGCGGUGAAAUGCUUAGAUAUCGUCAAGAACACCGAUAGCGAAGGCAGCUUACUAGGCUGUAACUGACGCUGAGGCACGAAAGUGUGGGGAUCAAACAGGAUUAGAUACCCUGGUAGUCCACACUGUAAACGUUGAUGACUCGCUGUUGGCGAUACACGGCCAGCGGCAGAGAGAAAUCGUUAAGUCAUCCACCUGGGGAGUACGCCGGCAACGGUG